rnacentral:rRNA from 1 species
GGGUUAAGUCCCGUAACGAGCGCAACCCUUGUCCUUAGUUACCAGCACGUUAUGUGGGCACUCUAAGGAGACUGCCGGUGACAAACCGGAGGAAGGUGGGGAUGACGUCAAGUCAUCAUGGCCCUUACGGCCUGGGCUACACACGUGCUACAAUGGUCGGUACAAAGGGUUGCCAAGCCGCGAGGUGGAGCUAAUCCCAUAAACCGAUCGUAGUCCGGAUCGCAGUCUGCAACUCGACUGCGUGAAGUCGGAAUCGCUAGUAAUCGUGAAUCAGAAUGUCACGGUGAGUACGUUCCCGGGCCUU